rnacentral:rRNA from 1 species
CCUACGGGAGGCAGCAGUAGGGAAUCUUCGGCAAUGGGGGCAACCCUGACCGAGCAACGCCGCGUGAGUGAAGAAGGUUUUCGGAUCGUAAAGCUCUGUUGUAAGAGAAGAACGUGUGUGAGAGUGGAAAGUUCACACAGUGACGGUAACUUACCAGAAAGGGACGGCUAACUACGUGCCAGCAGCCGCGGUAAUACGUAGGUCCCGAGCGUUAUCCGGAUUUAUCGGGCGUAAAGCGAGCGCAGGCGGUUGGAUAAGUCUUAAGUUUAAGGCUGUGGCUCCACCAUCAUAUACUUUUGAAACUU